rnacentral:rRNA from 1 species
GACGAACGCUGGCGGCGUGCCUAAUACAUGCAAGUCGAACGCAGUGGGGACGGGUGAGUAACACGUGGGUAACCUCCCAUCAGAGGGGAUAACAAUUGGAAACAGGUGCUAAACCGAUACUGAUGGAAGGACACGCGGUGCAUUACCUGGUAGGUGAGGUAACGGCUCACCAAGGCCACGAGGCAUAGGCAACCUGCGACGGUGAUCGGCCACACUGGGACUGAGACACGGCCCAGACUCCUACGUGAGGCAGCAGUAGGGAAUCUUCGGCAAUGGACGAAAGUCUGACCGAGCAACGCCGCGUGAGUGAAUAAGGUUUUCGGAUCGUAAAACUCUGUUGUUAGAGAAGCGGUAUCUAACCAGAAAGCCACGGCUAACUACGUGCCAGCAGCCGCGGUAAUUC